UACAGAGGUCUCAACCGUUGUUCGGAUUCAUUGGGCGUAAAGGGUGCGUAGGCGGUCGUGCAAGUCGGAUGUGAAAUCUCAGGGCUCAACCCUGAAACUGCAUUCGAUACUGCGUGGCUAGAGUGCUGGAGAGGAGACUGGAAUUUACGGUGUAGCAGUGAAAUGCGUAGAGAUCAGGAAGAACACCGGUGGCGAAAGCGCUCUGCUAGGCCGCAACUGACACUGAGGGACGAAAGCUAGGGGAGCGAAUGGG
rnacentral:rRNA from 1 species